rnacentral:snRNA from 1 species
UCACCACUCUGGCCUCAAUGGCUUAGAUGAAGUGUAGUAUCUGUUCUUUAUAGUUUAACAACUAUAACAGUCCUCCUGGGACUCGUUCGUUGUUUCCUUAUUUUUGCUGGCCAGCAGUGCGCAAUCGGUGGACGCGGGCUUGCUCGCUCCGCCGAGUGCGACGAUGACCUUGCCACUACACUCACGGCUCGUGUUGUCAUGGCAUU